UGAAUCCGCGCGGGAGAGUCCCGGCCGGCCGAAAGGCCGCGCCCGGGCGCCGAAGGAGCAAGUCCCUCCCUUGAAUCUCUCAGGCCCCGUACCGCGUGGAUGAG
rnacentral:ncRNA from 1 species